AUUGAACGCUGGCGGCAGGCCUAACACAUGCAAGUCGAGCGGAUGAGGAAAGCUUGCUUUUCGAUUCAGCGGCGGACGGGUGAGUAAUGCCUAGGAAUUUGCCUGUUAGUGGGGGAUAACUCGGGGAAACUCGGGCUAAUACCGCAUACGUCCUACGGGUGAAAGUGGGGGAUCUUCGGACCUCACGCUAACAGAUGAGCCUAGGUCGGAUUAGCUGGUAGGUGAGGUAAUUGCUCACCUAGGCGACGAUCCGUAACUGGUCUGAGAGGAUGAUCAGUCACACUGGAACUGAGACACGGUCCAGACUCCUACGGGAGGCAGCAGUGGGGAAUAUUGGACAAUGGGCGAAAGCCUGAUCCAGCCAUGCCGUGUGUGUGAAGAAGGUCUUCGGAUUGUAAAGCACUUUAAGUUGGGAGGAAGGGUAUUCACCUAAUACGUGGGUACUUUGACGUUACCAACAGAAUAAGCACCGGCUAACUCUGUGCCAGCCGCCGCCGUAAUAC
rnacentral:rRNA from 1 species